rnacentral:rRNA from 1 species
GACGUAGGGCGCGAGCGUUGUCCGGAUUUAUUGGGCGUAAAGAGCUCGUAGGCGGCUUGUCACGUCGGGUGUGAAAGCCCGGGGCUUAACCCCGGGUCUGCAUUCGAUACGGGCAGGCUAGAGUGUGGUAGGGGGAGAUCGGAAUUCCUGGUGUAGCGGUGAAAUGCGCAGAUAUCAGGAGGAACACCGGUGGCGAAGGCGGAUCUCUGGGCCAUUACUGACGCUGAGGAGCGAAAGCGUGGGGAGCGAACAGG